GUGCCAGCAGCCGCGGUAAUACGUAGGGUGCGAGCGUUGUCCGGAAUUAUUGGGCGUAAAGAGCUUGUAGGCGGUUUGUCGCGUCUGCUGUGAAAAUCCGGGGCUCAACCCCCGGACUUGCAGUGGGUACGGGCAGACUAGAGUGUGGUAGGGGAGACUGGAAUUCCUGGUGUAGCGGUGGAAUGCGCAGAUAUCAGGAGGAACACCGAUGGCGAAGGCAGGUCUCUGGGCCACUACUGACGCUGAGAAGCGAAAGCAUGGGGAGCGAACAGGAUUAGAUACCCUGGUAGUCC
rnacentral:rRNA from 1 species